CCUGGUGGCUCAGAUGGUAAAGAACCUGCCUGCAGUGCAGGAGACCUGGGUGCAAUCCCUGCAUUGGGA
rnacentral:tRNA from 1 species